rnacentral:rRNA from 1 species
AUUGAACGCUGGCGGCAGGCCUAACACAUGCAAGUCGAACGAGUGGCGGACGGGUGAGUAAUGUCUGGGAAACUGCCUGAUGGCGGGGGAUAACUACUGGAAACGGUAGCUAAUACCGCAUACCAUCAGAUGUGCCCAGAUGGGAUUAGCUUGUUGGUGGGGUAACGGCUCACCAAGGCGACGAUCCCUAGCUGUUCUGAGAGGAUGACCAGCAACAUGGGAGCUGAGACACGGCCCAGAUCCCUACGGGAGGCAGCAUUGGCGAAUUGUGAACAAGGGGCGCUAGCCGGAUGAAGCCAUCCCGCGGGGAUGAAGAAGGCCUUCGGGUUGUAAAGUAUUUUCGGCGGGGAGGCGUUACCGGCAGAAGAAGCACCGGCUAACUCCGUGCCAGCAGCCGCGGUAAUAC